UCCGCGCGCGCGGGCUAGGGUAGGGGGCGGGGAGGGGGUUCCUGGAAGUUAUCUCAGCCAUCCCUCAGCCUCUCAGGCCCGGAGAGAGAACUGCUCUCCAGAAGAGGCAGAAGUAGGGGCGGGGUUUUCCUCCUUUUGUCAAACUAUUCAUAAGAAAGGAAGUUCCCAGAAGGUUUGAAAUCCUUUGUGAAAUCUAGGCUCCCUCCCUCCCUCCCUCCUGCUGCUUUAGCCUGCAAUUUGCCAAUUUGCAGCAGAGAUGUAGUCUUAGGCCUGUCGUGUCUUCUCCCUCAACACCUCAGAGGCCUUCUCCUGAGUCUCUGGGCAGAGUUCUCUACCCAGAGUGGGUCUCCAGUUGCCCCUGACCGGCCAGGAGGCUGUCCCCACUGGCCCACAUUGACGACGACAACGAUGAGUUCCAGGCUUGUGAGUCAUCCCGGAAUGUCUGCUCUGCCUGCAUCUCCCAGUCCCUAGCCAGAGACCCUCUUUCCCUCUUCUUGGGCCCAGAAAGGAAGCCUUGCUGACCACUAGUCCCAAGUGAGCUAGAGGGGCUUGGCCUCUCAAGGGGACGGUCCCUUCCUAAUGACAGGCUUUAUGGCUUCUGUAUCCCAGGUGGGGAAACUGAAGAGGGGCAGGUAUGGGAGGGCACAGCCUUUGGGUCUCCCCAGCAGCGAGUCCCGCCCUCUUCAUGCAGACUGGAAGACAUCUAAUUGGUGCAGCUCAGGGAUGAAAGAAGCUGGGAAAUUCCUGACCCUCAAGGGACUCGGGAUCCCCAACUUCUCCCUCCCCACCCUCCUCACUCCCCAUCACAGUCCUGGAUUAGUUGACUCUCUAGCUAUCACCCCAGUUAGUGCUAGACUGACCUGGUAACUCUCGGGGGUUCACUUCCCUGUGCCUCAGUUUCCUUGUCUGUAAAAUAUGGAUACAGAAAAGUUCCUCCCCUCAAGUAGGACUCUGAUUAAAGAAUCAGACACCAGUCAGGCAUAGCAGUGCACGACUUUAAUCCCAGAUCUCCUGUCUGCAGAGGCAGAAGGAUCUCUGUAAGUUUGGGGGCCAGCCUGGUCUACAGAGUGAGUUCCAGGACAGCCAGAGCUCCACAGUGAGGCCCUGUCUCAAAUAAAUAAAAGCAAAAGAGAAUCAGUCACACCUUGAGACACACACCGCCCCCCACAAUCCUCACAAUUUCUACUUCUGACAGACAGCCCCUCUUCUCCCAUUCCAAUCACCUCCCCCACCCCCUUCUAUCCUCCUCCUGGGGUACUGGCCGAUCUCUGACAAAGACAAGGAAAGACAGAGGCCUUGAGGUCUGAACUUCAAUGUCAGCUCUGCCCAGGACCACUCCUGGACUUCAAGAGCCUUCAGGUUCCUCUGAGAAAAACCUGUCCCCUCUACAUCCUGGGACUUCAUCUUAAGUGUGCCUUGGCUGCUGCCCGAAGCUGCACCCUUCUAGGAACUUCUGCCUCAGGGAGCCCAUCAGCUCUCAGAAGGGACAUUCCAGGGGAUGAGAUAUCCGCUGGCCCAGAAAGGCGUGGGAACGGGGAGGCCAGCAUCACUAACAACAAACAUCUGUACCAGGCUGAGCCGGAGAUGCAAGGUGGAAGGCUUAGACAUGGACAGUGGAUGGAGCCCAGCUGCAGCAUCUGGAAGAGUACAGCAGUCUGUCUCCUUCCCAUCACCGAGGACCAUUGUGAAAACCACGCAUCCUCAUGGCCUCUCAGUGGAUUCUCACAGCCCUGACAUACCUUAAUACAGCCUGAAUACCUCUGAUUCACACAUAGAGACCCGAGCCUAACAGGACUGGAGUGCUACCUAAGCGUUACCUUUCUAGAACCGAGGGUUGACUGAAGCUGGACUCCGUCAUGGUCCUUUUUGGCCAUGGCCCCCCUGUGUUCUUCCCUGGCACAUCCACACAGUUCCUGCAGCAGACCAUGUGCACCAGGGGAGACUGAUUGCUUGUAGCCCGGGUAUAACAACAUCUUCUUCCUUCUCACUCAAGACCCCCCCAGGACUUAGACCUGCUUUAUACAUGACCGGAAAGCCCCUUGCUGGGGUCUCCCCAGACAGGAAACGGUAGACACUCUUCCCUCUUUGCUCUUAGUCAGCCUAGAAACCCCGGCUGCAUACCCCACAUAGGCACCCCAGCUAAGGGUUCUUGAGUGUUUUCUGUGUGCCAGGUGUCAUUGUAAGUCAUCGAAUGGUCAUAGUAGUCCUAUGGUGUAGGUCCCAGUUGUAUUUUUUUAUAGUCAUUUUAUAGGCAGGCAAAGAGAGUCUCAGAGGAGUGACGUGCUCAAGGUCACACAGCUAGGAAGCUGCGGAGCUGAGACCGGAGCAUAGCACUAAGCCCCGUGCUAUUUUAUCUCAUUCUCCGACGUCGAUGGCGCAUUUACUUUACAGAGCCUGCAAUUACUGACUGCUUUGCUGUGCCCUGUGUUAGGCACACAGAGGUGAGGGAGGCAUAGGGUGUUCCUCUCUUUCUCUGCCGCCUCCUGCCUAGCACGCUUCUCAGUGGCUGGAUGGGAUGGGCUUCUUUCCCAUGGAGUCUUCCUCCUAAGCAUGCUAGGACAUGUGGGUCUUGGCUCCCAAGCGUUUGGCACCUAGUGAGGGGAAACGCUGGCGUGGAGCCUGAACGGGGAGCGCGGAGACCAGGAA